UACGUAGGUGGCAAGCGUUGUCCGGAUUUAUUGGGCUUAAAGGGCGCGUAGGCGGCUUUGUAAGUCAGUGGUGAAAUAUGGCAGCUCAACUGUCAGGGUGCCAUUGAUACUGCGGAGCUUGAGUACAGAUGAGGUAGGCGGAAUUGACGGUGUAGCGGUGAAAUGCUUAGAUAUCGUCAAGAACCCCGAUAGCGAAGGCAGCUUACUAGGCUGUAACUGACGCUGAGGCACGAAAGUGUGGGGAUCAAACAGG
rnacentral:rRNA from 1 species